UUAGAGUCUUAAUAAUCGAAUUAAAUUAAAACAAAACAUUAACAACAUUACAACAAUAUUUAAACACAACAAUACUCAAACAUAAAUAUAAAACAGACAUUCUCUAUUAGGAUACAUGUUAAAAACCAUCUGAUAUAGCGUUUAUAAUAGCUGCACUUACUAUUUUGGGCAAAACCUCCGUUGCAAACCUGAAUAAAAAUGAAUCACUUUCACUUUGAAAAUGAUGCGCUGUUACAUUAAAACCAGCUCUUAGUCAUUUAAAAUUUAACUCAAUUAUGGCUUAGAAUUCUCCUAUUUCAUGUUUAUUUAGGAAAUACUAUUUUUAAAUCCGCCUAUUAAGUUAUUGUCCGUCUUAAAAAUGCAAUAGUUGUCAGCAGUCGCUAUGCUAAUAUUGUAUUAACACAAAUAUUUUUCAUUUUUCAUGAAACAUACAGUUUGGGAUCAGCAUGAAGGCUUUUUAGUGGCAUGUGAGAUCUUACCUUGAAAUGUCAAACUGGGCUGUCGACUAUUUGAGGUAACUUUGCAUAGCAAACCCACCAAACUGAUCCCAAACCAAAAUGUUGCCUACUCACCCAUAUCCAUACCCGCACAAUCAAAUUAAAAACCACCAGAACCGCCAAAUAUAUAAUUGCAUCGUCAUGCUUGCACGCUGUUUUUUUUUUUUUAAAGUGUCUCACUUUUACUUAACACAAAGUCAUUCACAGAAGUUUUAUAUUAAUUUACUUUACAUUUUACUACAGUGUUAAUAUUUAAACGUGUACAAUAAAAAAAUGGAAAAGUUAUGACGGUGGGGCCCCCUAGCGUACUUAUGGGCCCAUAUGCCUGGCAUACUCUGAACCCCCCCUAACGGCGCCCCUGAGUAGAAUAUGUAUGCAGUGGAUGCACAGCGAGUUUAUGAUCUUGUUUUUAUUGUGUUUGUGUGUGUUAUGGUAGAGAAAUUUUGAGUGUUUUAUCUUACAGAUUAGUAUAAAUGUUUUAUAUGGUAUGCUUUUAAUGUGUUUUUUGGUUAAGGUCUACAUGAAUUAAGUUUUAAGUUGUCUCUCUGUUGCUUGCAUAUGAAUGUGUUGUUCCACAGCUGGGCCUGGAGGAGAUGAGGGUGUCCAUGGUAAGGAUAGCAAAAUUGUUGUAUGAUGUGUUAGAGAACAAAGACACUGUUUUUACCACGAGUGUGAGGAUUUAUGUAUGUCUUGAAGGGUACAGAGAUAAAGCCACAGCAUCACCAAGUUGUUAUGAGAAGGAGCUAAGGGGCCUAAAGGCAGGAGUCUGCUGAGCAUUGGGAUAGUACAGAGUGAAAGAAAGGCAGGGCUACUGGACCACUAUAUAAUAUACUGAAAAACUCAGAACGGGGUCAUUAUAAUUUUACCAGGUGUACACCCUAUGACCAGUAUUGUUUCAAGCUGUCGGACACAAUUCUUUAAUAAAAUACUUUGAAGAGAAUUUUACAUCUCAACCGUCUCUGAUUCUCCUGAAAAAAAUUACGACAGUGUGUGUCUGUUAGAGCUGCUGUGCAGAGUGGCUUAUAUACAUUCUCUCUUAAUAUUUGCAGAUGGAGAAUAGUUGUGCAUGGUGGUGUUGAUGGGUUUUCACGGCUCAUUGUUUACCUGACUGCAGCAACAAACAACAGAGCCCAAACUGUUCUGGAAAGUUUCCUGUCAGCUGUGGAGCAGUAUGGCGUCCCCUCAAGAGUCAGAUCAGAUAAGGGAGGGGAAAACGUUCUGGUGGCACGCUUCAUGGUGACUAAUUGUGGAAUCAACAGGAAGAAGUGUACACAAUCAAAGGAUUGAGCGACUAUGGAGAGAUGUUUUUGAAAAUGUCCUUGAUCUAUUCUACAGCACUUUCCUUCGUCUGGAAGCUGAGGGGUGGCUUAAUCCAGACAAGGAGACAGACCUCUAUGCUUUACAUAGAUGUUACAUGCCACACAUCCAGUCACAUCUGCAACAAUUUCAGAGAGCAUGGAACAACCAUUCCUUAAGAUCUGCAAGAAACCAGUCCCCUCUUCAGCUGUGGUCAAGCAAAGAAAGAGAUAGACACACACUACACAUUUCUCAGACAGAUGAUGACAACAGAUGGUGGAGAGGCCCACAACGACCUUCAGUUCAAAUUCCUGAGCUACACCUUCCCAGAGCCCUGUCUGUGGUAGAACUUUCCACACUGCCAAAUCCAACUGUACCAUUGGCAGAGAUGCUACCAGUGUACAUUGAGACUGUACGGAUUCUUCGAGAAAUGCUGGAUCAUUAAAGAACGGAUGAACAUUGACUGUAUAUAUAACUGAUGUAUCAAAUUCCAAAGACAAU